rnacentral:rRNA from 1 species
CCUACGGGCGGCAGCAGUGGGGAAUAUUGGACAAUGGGGGCAACCCUGAUCCAGCCAUGCCGCGUGUGUGAAGAAGGCCCUUGGGUUGUAAAGCACUUUCAGUGAGGAAGAACGCCUGGUGGUUAAUACCCAUCAGGAAAGACAUCACUCACAGAAGAAGCACCGGCUAACUCCGUGCCAGCAGCCGCGGUAAUACGGAGGGUGCGAGCGUUAAUCGGAAUUACUGGGCGUAAAGCGCGCGUAGGUGGCUUGAUAAGCCGGUUGUGAAAGCCCCGGGCUCAACCUGGGAACGGCAUCCGGAACUGUCAAGCUAGAGUGCAGGAGAGGAAGGUAGGAUUCCCGGUGUAGCGGUGAAAUGCGUAGAGAUCGGGAGGAAUACCAGUGGCGAAGGCGGCCUUCUGGACUGACACUGACACUGAGGUGCGAAAGCGUGGGUAGCAAACAGGAUUAGAUACCCCCGGUAGUC